rnacentral:rRNA from 1 species
UACAGAGGUCUCAAGCGUUGUUCGGAUUCAUUGGGCGUAAAGGGUGCGUAGGUGGCGCUGUAAGUCGGGUGUGAAAUUUCGGAGCUUAACUCCGAAACUGCAUUCGAUACUGCGGUGCUUGAGGACUGGAGAGGAGACUGGAAUCCAUGGUGUAGCAGUGAAAUGCGUAGAGAUCAUGAGGAAGACCAGUGGCGAAGGCGGGUCUCUGGACAGUUCCUGACACUGAGGCACGAAGGCCAGGGGAGCAAAAGGG